GGCGGCAGGCCUAACACAUGCAAGUCGAGCGGUAACAUUUCUAGCUUGCUAGAAGAUGACGAGCGGCGGACGGGUGAGUAACGCGUAGAAAUCUACCUAGUAGUGGGGGAUAGCCCAGAGAAAUUUGGAUUAAUACCGCAUACGCCCUACGGGGGAAAGCGGGGGAUCGUUCGGACCUCGUGCUAUUAGAUGAGUCUGCGUCGGAUUAGCUUGUUGGUGAGGUAAUGGCUCACCAAGGCGACGAUCCGUAGCUGGUCUGAGAGGAUGACCAGCCACACUGGAACUGAGACACGGUCCAGACUCCUACGGGAGGCAGCAGUGGGGAAUAUUGCACAAUGGGCGCAAGCCUGAUGCAGCCAUGCCGCGUGUGUGAAGAAGGCCUUAGGGUUGUAAAGCACUUUCAGCAGUGAGGAAAGGGGUGUCGUUAAUAGCGCCAUCCUGUGACGUUAACUGCAGAAGAAGCACCGGCUAAUUUCGUG
rnacentral:rRNA from 1 species